rnacentral:rRNA from 1 species
UACGACUUCUUACCUUCGGGUAACGAGGGUCGACGAGUGGCGGACGGGUGAGUAACGCAUAGGAAUCUGCCCAGUAGAGGGGACAACCUGGGGAAACCCAGGCUAAUACCGCAUACGCCCUACGGGGGAAAGCGGGGGAUCUUCGGACCUCGCGCUAUUGGAUGAGCCUAUGUCUGAUUAGCUUGUUGGUAGGGUAACGGCCUACCAAGGCAACGAUCAGUAGCUGGUCUGAGAGGAUGAUCAGCCACACUGCGACUGAGACACGGCGCAGACUCCUACGGGAGGCAGCAGUGGGGAAUAUUGCACAAUGGGCGCAAGCCUGAUGCAGCAAUGCCGCGUGUGUGAAGAAGGCCUGCGGGAUGUAAAGCACUUUCAGUAGCGAAGAAAAGCCCGGGGUUAAUACCCCCGUGUCUUGACGUUAGCUACACAAGAAGCACCGGCUAACUCCGUGCCAGCAGCCGCGGUAAUACGGAGGGUGCGAGCGUUAAUCGGAAUUACUGGGCGUAAAGCGCGCGUAGGCGGUUUGGUAAGUCGGAUGUGAAAUCCCCGGGCUUAACCUGGGAAUUGCAUUCGAUACUGCCUGACUAGAAUGUGAUAGAGGUAAGUGGAAUUCCCGGUGUAGCGGUGAAAUGCGUAGAUAUCGGGAGGAACAUCAGUGGCGAAGGCGGCUUACUGGAUCAACAUUGACGCUGAGGUGCGAAAGCGUGGGGAGCAAACAGGAUUAGAUACCCCUGGUAUUCCACGCCCUAAACGAUGUCAACUAGCCGUUGGGUCCUUA